UAGCCACCGCCUCAUUUGUCGACUCCUCACUUUCCCUCACAAGCUGUGCCGCGCUCUCAAGAAUGCCACCGCCUCAUUUUCCCUUUUUCCUGCGACCUUGCCUCCGCUUCUGCGACCUCGCAUCACGUAUCUCGGGUCCCUCCUCCAGAUUGCUCUUUGUUUCUAACCUAUGAUCACCAAUAAUGGAGGAUUCCCUUUUCAAAUCUGGCUCUCUGGCGCAGGGGCAACACUCGGAUCGUUUCAGUCUUCGUAAUCUUACGCGCUGGGUUUUUCAUAGCCCCCCUGCUCGUCAAUGGAGGAGAUUCGCUUUCUUGUUUGCUCGUCCCGGGCCCCUCCUUCAGAUUGCUCCGCAUGGCGUUGCUCAAUUACUUGUUCUCCAUAGAGAAAAAAAAAUGUCAGUAAAAUUAAAUUUGGAGGAGGAGAGGGCGAGGGCGAGUGGAGGUAGAGGACAGAGUAGCUGUGAAGGCGAUGCUACCUGACGGCAAUAAAAUUUGGAAGUUAAUGAGGACAAAACAAGCGAAGAAUGCCCCGGUGUUUUCUCCUGUGCUGAUAUUGUAGCCAUUGCUGCUCGUGACUCAAUUGUUCUUCUUGGAGGACCUGCCUGGAAAGUGAAGCUGGUAAGAAGAGAUUCAAAGACAGCAGCUAGCUUGGCUGCUGCGAACAUUAAAUCUCCUUUUUCUUCACUUAACACUCUCAUCUCCAACAUUAAAUCUCAGGGCCUCUCUGCCAGGGGACAUGGUUGCUUUAUCUGAUCUCUUGAAGGAUAUUGAUGUUAAGCAUGUCUUGAAGUAUUGCAUGUUUGGUUGUUUGAGAUCACACCAUCAACUUUAAGUGCUUGAAGAACUUUAAAUUAGAGCUUGAGUCUCUUCAGUGAACAAGCUAACCUGAGCCUGUGUAAGAACUGAUUGGUAUCAUUGACGGGCAAGCUGACGUGGAUGCACAAUUUAAUAUAAGUGUCAAGCAAAUAUAAGAAAUGCACAUUUUUCUAGGUUUAAGGUGGUUCAGGUCAGUCAAGGUAUCUUUGGCCAUGAAGCUGUAUUAUUGCUAACCAAGAAGGUUGCAAGCACCUUUGCUGGAUGAGACUGCGGAUCUUUAACUUUGUGUUUGCUUUGGAGGAAUUUAAUGAAUGUUUAACUUCUAGAUUGGUGUGAAUGGGUAUGCAUCAGUCUUGCCUUCCUAUAGAAUUUUCAAUUUUGCACUUGCUAUUACUGCACGGAUAUUUUCUGACCAGGAUAUGUCAAACUUUGCAGUACUAUUACAAUGAUACAUACUUGGAUGGUGAUAAACAAAAUGCAAUCAACAUGAGUCAAAUGAGCCCAUUUUUUCAAGUUAUAUCCACAUAAUUGUAUAUAUUAACUUAUUUGAUUUGCAUUGAAAUGAAGUUUUAUGAUUUAUUAUAUAUAUGGACCAGGCUUUUCAGCAUUGUCAGCCACAACAGGGAAAAGCAGUGUUAUGGGAGCUAGAUUCGUAUUAGUCUUACAAUGUUGCCAAGCAUGGUUUAGUUUUUACUGAUGAUAACAAUAGGUCAACUAUUAAAAUAUCGCUAUCAGAUGGAAAUGUUGUUUGUUAAAGUGACACAAUUGGGAACAUAGAUGAUACAAACAAUCAGCAUUUAUCUGAAAAAGCUGAUGACCAAUGUCUGUCAGUGUCUGAUGCGUCUUUACUUGUGGAAGUGAUAUUUGUCAAUACAGGUACGCUCAUGUGGCAUUUUGAAUGUUGUAAAUUCUGGUAGUAACGUAUAUCCACAAGCCCGAUACAGUGAUAUUUAAUAAAAAGCAGAAAGUUCGUUCUGACAAAUUUGGAAAGAACAAAGAUUCCCCCUGGAGAAGUACAGCAGCAAAUGUAAGAUUACCAUUUGCCUGAGAACUAUUAAUGUGCUAACAUUUUGAUAUGCACAACACUGUCAAUUGGAUUUCUUGCAAAUAAAAUUAGAAGAAGAAUGUGUAGAUGAAAACUUUUAAACUAUGCUGAGAGCAUCUUUGAAGCAAUGAUGUGGUUUUGUAUUUUAUGCAUGCCAGAAGCUUUUAUUUAAAACAGAUGAUGAGGAAUAUUACAUUUCCCUACCUGAGUCAUACAUUUUGGAGUAUUGUAUUGUCAUACACUCAUAACAGAUGCGGACUCUUAAUGCCUAGAGGUCUCUAAUAAGUAGUCAUUUCACUACUUUUUUCUCCCUGCCAAACAUAAUACGCCAUUUGAACAUAAUAACAGAGAAAAUGAUUGGGGAUGUUUCGUCUGAUUUGCCUCAUUAUCUGAAUCAGCCAAAUCCAUCUGCUAAUACACAAAUGUAAUUGGUGUGAAAUAAAUUGAAUAGCUGGUCUCUUUUACUUUUCUUUUUCCCUAUCUUCCUCUUCCUCAGUUGUGUUGUCUUCUUCCUCAUAAUUGCCCUCUUCCUUCUUGGAUUUUUGCUUCCUUUUAGAACGACAAUAGAGGUUUCAACAUGCUUACACCACAUUAAGAUUUUCAUCAAUACUCUCCCCUGUCUUCUCCACAUCAUCAAUACUCUCCCCUUCCUUUCUAAGACUUUAAUUCUUUCUGGUGGAAGAGUAACCCAAGAACACAAACUUUGAUAGCUUGAGGUUCAAGUUUGGUGGAUGAAUGGAGAUGAAUAAAGGCCUGCACCCAAACUUUUAAAGGAAGAUUGGUCUCAAGAUGAGAGAGAGUGUGUUUGGCACAGACACUCAAGUGGAGUAGAAUAGGACAAUAUUUUACUAGAUAUGAUUAAUGAGUAAGAAUGGCAUCUGCCCAAAAGUCACCCCAAAAGUAUAGUAAAUGUAUAUUUUUUCAUUCAGCCACCCCAUUUUGUUGAGGGUUGUUAGCAUAAUAAGUCUUAUGAAUGAUUCCUUUAGACUUAAGAAAGUUGAUAAUUAACAUAUUCAGUUUGCAGAAUUUUUAAUAAAUGUGUGAAAUUGGUUCAAUAUCAUUGUGAAGAAUUUGAUGAAAAUAGAUGUCACAUUAGACUUAUCUAUGAAAGAUAUACCCAACACACGUCAUCAAUGGUAUGGGUUCUAUUAGGAGCACGAGAAGGACCCCAUACAUCACUAUGAAUGAUAGAAAAGAGGGCUUAUAGAGGGCUUAUAUUCAGAGCGUGGAAAUGAAGAUUGAUGAUGUUUGGGUAACUCACAAAUGUCACAAAUAUCAAGUAGUGGAUAUUGGGAUGACCCAUUCUUUUUUGCCAUAAUAAAAUAUCAACAUUUUCAGAGGUAGAUGUAAGGUUGCAGUGGAUAUGAGACUAGAGAUUACUCACGGUUGACUCAUCCAAGUAGUAGAGUCCAUCACACUCCUCAGCAAUCCCAAUCAUAGGAACAUGAAGGAUAGAACCCAACUGUAAAAAUUCAGAGAUAGUAAUAUUGCCCUUUCCAGCUAUAGUAGAAGAGGUUUUCUCACGUCCACUGACAUACGAUGUAAAUAAUGUAGAAUCCACAGUCAUGUGAUCAAAGGCCCUUUCAGCUCUUAUCCCAUUAUAUUCAACCAUGUACCCUUCUCCCUUCUUUUGAAUGGAUUGCGUAAGUGAUUUAAAAGAAACCAAAGUCUUGGUUAAAAGUUGGAUCACCUUGUAAACAUACCUUUACUCUUCUUACCAAUCUUCAUAGUCAAUUGCCCCCAAUUUACCCUUACUUCUAAUGAUUUUAUCCACACCACUGAGUGGAAAAGGAUAUUGAAUAAUGUUCAAACCCUGUACUUGCAGCUUGAGGUCACUACAGCGUUGCUUCCCUUUAAAAUUGAACCCAAUCACUGUUGAUCGAAUAAACAGCAAUUUCCUCUAAUUAGAAGUUAUGCGAUGAAGUUACGAGUGGCUCUAUGAUCAAUUAAGAUCACAAUUUCAGCCUUUUUGCACAUUUGAAAACACAAGCGAAGCUCUUGCCGUCUAGCUAAUUCAGCAUUAGAGAGUCGUGUUCAUCCUCCCAGACGAGUUGACGUUGGUCCAGACUAGUUUCAACCCAGUUUUGAAUGCUCCUACCAAGUAAGCCUUUGACACAUCACUCACCAUGGUUGAUACUCGCUCAAACUCUUCCACGUAUUCACGUGCAGAGCCUCUUGCUUCACGGCUAGCAUCAUCUUGUACUCGUCCCCUAUUUGUGAUGGAUGAAACCUGCACAAUAGCUCCCUUUUAGACUACAUUCAGAUAGGGGCUCUGGUUUCGACCCAUUGAUGCCAGUUUAGAGCUUUUCCUUUCCUUCCAAACAAACAAUUGCUGUGUUUCAGCUAAUAAGAAAUAAAGUACCUCUCCACUCGAAAUAGCGAGGGGUCCUCCCCAUUGAAAAUGGGUAACUCAACUUCUUUCUCAUGGUCUCCUAUACUUCAUGGCUGGGUUGAUCUUGUUCAUGGUUGUCAGUUGCCUGUUUCUAUUUUUCCAUUAAUUGAUCCAAUGUUCCUUGCAUCUUCUGCAUCAUGUCUUUCAUUAAGGUCAUGUCUUUUUAAUUUGCCUGUACGUCAC